rnacentral:rRNA from 1 species
AUGAAGGCCUUCGGGUUGUAAAGCUCUUUUGGCGGGGACGAUGAUGACGGUACCCGCAGAAUAAGCCCCGGCUAACUUCGUGCCAGCAGCCGCGGUAAUACGAAGGGGGCAAGCGUUGUUCGGAAUUACUGGGCGUAAAGGGCGCGUAGGCGGCGCAGCAAGUCAGGGGUGAAAUCCCGGGGCUCAACCUCGGAACUGCCUCUGAAACUGCAGUGCUAGAAUCUUGGAGAGGCGAGUGGAAUUCCGAGUGUAGAGGUGAAAUUCGUAGAUAUUCGGAAGAACACCAGUGGCGAAGGCGACACACUGGCCCGUUACUGACGCUGAGGCGCGAAAGCGUGGGGAGCAAACAGGAUUAGAUACCCUGGUAGUCCACGCCGUAAACGAUGUCUACUAGCCGUUGGGGUCCUUGAGGCCUUAGUGGCGCAGCUAACGCACUAAGUAGACCGCCUGGGGAGUACGGUCGCAAGAUUA